rnacentral:rRNA from 1 species
UACAGAGGUCUCAAGCGUUGUUCGGAUUCAUUGGGCGUAAAGGGUGCGUAGGCGGCGCGGUAAGUCGGGUGUGAAAUCUCGGAGCUUAACUCCGAAACUGCAUUCGAUACUGCCGUGCUUGAGGACUGGAGAGGAGACUGGAAUUUACGGUGUAGCGGUGAAAUGCGUAGAUAUCGUAAGGAAGACCAGUGGCGAAGGCGGGCCUCUGGAUAGUUCCUGACGCUGAGGCACGAAGGUCAGGGGAGCAAACGGG